AUGCAAGACUGGGGUCCAGUUCUCAUCUCCUUCAUGCUCUUCAUCCUUCUGUCCCCAGGGCUUGUCUUCCAGAUCCCUGGCAAAUCACGGACGAUCGAGUGCGGCAAAUUCCACACGAGCGCCGUCUCCAUCCUCAUCCACACCAUCAUCUUCUUCGCCCUCGAUGCCUUCUUCCUCGUCGUCGUUGGCGUCCACAUCGAGUUCGGCUCGUCAUCAUGA
rnacentral:rRNA from 1 species